AAGUAAUUAUUUGAGUCUUUUGUUUAGAAAGGGCUCUUCUCUGAUGGUAAUAAGUAUAAGCAGGCAGGGAAGGCACAGGACUGAGGAGUGGCUGAGAAGUCCAUUUCCUAGCAGGAGGUCCCAUAGAUGCAGCUAUACAACUGAUCAUACCAAUAUAGUUUCACAUCACCUCUGUGGAGCAAAAUGAGAAUGGUCUAAAGCACAAUUCUACACUGACUUUUCCCAGCAGCAUUAUGCACAUAUAUACCUUACUAAAAUGGUUACUUUGAUAAAAUUUACCAAAUUUCAAAACUAUAGGCAAUUUAAAAAACAUUACAAUUUCCUGUGUUUAUGAUCUUAUUGGUCUACAGUGGUUUGAAACAAGUCGAAGGAUGAAGAAGGGGAUAAAAUUUGACAGAUAGCUUGUCUAUGUUUGCACUAAUAUAUUUAUUAUGGUCAAUUUUCUUAUUGCCACCUCACUAGAUUUAAUUUAUUUCUUUGUUAAGUUGCAGAUGUGUUUUCCUCAAAUUAGACAAUGCUGGUCAAAAUUGUGUUAUUAAUUAUAUGCAGCAGCUCCAUUGCCCUUCUGGGAAAGUGGGGAAGGCAGGCUUAUUUUCCUACUCAACUUCUAAAAAUAUUGAGCAUUUUUAAUGUUCAUGUAAUUGUAGGCAAGAAAAGGGGUCUUCUUAAAAAUAAAAAAGAGAAAUGAAAUUUGAACCUGUUCCCAAUUGUGUUAGUUGGAGAAUAUAUGAUUUUCUUAGCAACUGCAUCAGGCCCAGAGAGUCAAUUUUGAUCCUUUCCAAUUCAGUCUGGAAUUAGAAACAACAUUUUAAAACUUUUUUCUAUUUUUUUUUUUUUCCCUGACUGCUCUCAUUCAGCUGAACAAUUCCCUUCAGCAGUCAGAUGAACCUCUCUGAGGUCAUACCAUCCACCAACUUCCUGGAGCUGAGAUACAGCAAGAUGAAUUUAAGCUGCAUGCUGUUAUUCUGUUCUGUUUCUUCUAUCUUUCAGGGACAGUUCCCAGCUCAGAAGAGCACUUUAAUUCAAUUUGGAUUCUAUACCAGGAAUCUUAUAUAUAGCCCUUCCAGCAGUGUUCCUUUAUGAAAAAAGCCUCUGCCUCAAUGAUAACUGGUUGCCAUGCAGAAAUGAAGUUAUUAAGACAACUUCAUAUUUUUUCUAUUAUUAUUAUUGUAUAUGUCUUAUUAUUGUAUAUGUCUUAGUUACUAAUGCUGUAGUCAGGAAGUAGGGGAGAAAGAAGCAAAUGAUUCAAUUUCUUCAUCUGGAAAUGUAUUGCCCUUUUCAGUCUUUUGAAAGAGAACAAACAAACAAAAAAGAUUUUUAUCAGCAUUUUUUUCCCUGAGUUCUGCAAACUCUGCAAUUUGAAUAAGAUAUCGUCUUUCCCACACAACACUAGACUGUAGAAUUUACUUCUAAGCACCACUGCCUUUGAUAGUGACACUCUGGAGAAGUCCAUCAGAUGAGAAGCUCUAGAGAAACUCUCCUAGUCACAGAGGUGGUCAUUUUAUACACAAUUAUAAUGAACUGUCACUGUGUGAACAACUGAUUUGGGAAAAACACGAUUUUAAUAUAUAUUUUCUACCCCACAGCAUUUUAGGGUUAUACAUUUUUAAUUUCAGAUCAUGGAUUUUGCCUUAAUCGUAUGAUUAAACAUAAAUUCAUGACCAUUCUAUAUUAUAUAUAGAGAGAUAAAAUAUAUUACAGAAAAAUAAUACGGCCCCAGCUUUUCUGUGCAAGCCCUAGAGCAUUUUUCCCAUCAGUACCUAAUCCUUCUGGAUGAUCAGUGGCAGAGACAUUGUGAAACUCUUUCCCUUUAAGUGUUUUCUAUUCUCUACAUUGUUUCAUCCCCCUCUGCCCCAAAUCUUACAGAUCCACAUCAAUAUUCAUCUGUAUUUAUUGAUACAGGCUCUGCUAAGUGUUUCCAUUUAAUUAAUUGGUUCUGUUUGUUUCAACACUGAUUGACUCUAGUCCCAUCUUCCAUUAAUCUUCCCUGCUGACCAUGACAAAGCUUGCAUAAAUUUGUACCACUCACACAAGUGGCAGAUCAUUUUUCAACUUCAUUUCAUGUUAUGCUGUGCAGAAGCAGCUUCUCUUUCCCUUGGCCAAGGGCAGUGCUUGUUAUACAACUAAACAGCAUCUAAGAACCAAGCAACAGUUUCUGGUUUUGUUAGAACAGGUAUCCUCCAAAACAACAUGAUACAAAGUCUGAACUUUGCUGUAGAUUGGAAAAUAG